rnacentral:lncRNA from 1 species
UAUAUAUAUAUAUAUAUGAAUUAGAAAAUUACAAAAUUACCCCACAGUUUUGAAGGACUGAUGAAUGUGUCUGAGCGUCUCCUCAUCCCUCUUCCACUCCGGAGCAGGAGCAUUAACAAAGUGCGCAUAUAGCUUAUUCUUCGCACAGGUAACGGCUAUCAGACUAUGCUUUCCGAUCCCGUCAAUUUCAUACACAUAAUAUACCUGACCUGUUUCCUCGUCUUUCUUCUCCUCCGACACCAGGCUGUCCGCUCCCGCAAUCAGAUCCUGCAAUUCUACAUCCGACAGCGCCAAAUUGUUCAGCACCAUGUCUUUCGGAGCCAAUUGUCUGAAUCCUGCUAAAAACGUCAGGUACUCCUUCUCCGUCCUCUUUUUCGGAUUGUAGAACUCGCUAUCCGUCCCGUUCGUUCCUUUCUCCACUUUCGACACCAGCCGCUCCUUCCAUCCCUCCGGCACAUCGUACACGUAUUCGGCCGAGGCUUUCUUGUCGGAAUUUCCGCCGUAUCCCCCGUAGUUAGCGGCGCUGGCGGCGGUUCCGUAGUAGAUCCGGUAGGGGCUGUCUGGUGCUGCGAGAGAGGACAGGGAGGUUGUGAAGAUGGAGGUGGUGGCUAUGACUGCCGUGAGGGUUAUAGGUAGUGUUGGCUUAGAGAAGAGUUGUUGAGGUUUUGGUUGGGUGUUAAUGGCAGUGAUUGUUGUGGAAGAGGAGGAGAAGACGACGGAGGGUUGAUAGCAGAGGGUCGCCAUGAAAGAUUCGAUCUCUGUGUGUGUGUGGUUUGUGUUUCUAUAUCAACCAUAUCCAGUGAAGAUUUAUUGUUACGUGCUGGGACCACAAUAUGAAAUAUAUAAACAAAAAUCUGUUACUUUUUAAAAUUGGAAAAAUUAACUUUUUAAUUUACAGACAUUUAAGGAAUAUAUAUAUAUAUAUAUAUAAACUUUCCAUUUUAAAUAAAAAAUUAAUGAUAGCUCUUUAGUUUACAAACUGUAUAUAAUUUUCUUCAUAAACUUUGAUAUUAAAUUUAUUUAAUUUUCUUUUACAUAAUAAAAACUAACAUAAUAAUAAAGUUAUAAGAACAAAAAUUUAACUAAAUAUAUAAAAAUUAUUAAAUUAAGUGAUUAAUCAUUAUAUGGUUAUAGUGUGAGCAUAGAAUUGACAAAACCAUUGGGUUAAAUACUUCUACUAUUUGAAAAUGUACCCUCUCUCUGCUAUAUAUUUUCAGUGAUUGUAUAUACACACACACACAUAUAUAAUUGGAAAUAUACAGUUGUGGAGAAAGGAAGAUGCUUUUGAGGUCACACUAUCAUAAAAAAAUUUAGAAUUUGAAGUAUACCAUAUACCAGAAUCUAAAGUUGAAAUAUAUUCUUACAACUAAUUUUCAAUACACAAAUUCCUUCAUAAUUAUGUUCAUUGAAAAUAUAAACUAUACAGAUAUGUACCUCAGUGCCUUGGCUUUGGGUGGCUAGUAAUUCCACUGUACUAAGCUGGGUUAAAGUCUUACACUCUUUGCAAACUUUUGUCUCAUCUUUUUGAGAGUGGCUAAGACAGCCCUCAUAUUUCCUCUAUCAUUAGCUGACUCUGCUGAGCAGUUCAAGGCUAAUCUCAAAACAGAUGAUAUACACUCCAUUGUUGCCUCCAAAUGCUUGUCAUUAUCUACCUUCAACAGAGUGUGUUAUCCACAACAUUUUCCCAAAUAUCCUCACUAAAAAAUGACUCUUCCACCCAUCUCCUUAGGCUUACUUCUCCUGCAAACAUUUCAUCUGUAGGCUUCUUUCUUGUGAAUGUCUCCAGCACCAGAAUCCCAAAACUAUAUAUAUCUCCUUUUGUUGACACAGUUCCCAUUAAUCCGUAUUCUAAAUUCACAUAAUUUUAGGCAUUAGGUUUAGAUAAACCAUAUUAUUUAGAAAUUAAAAGGGAAAUUCUUGCUUAUAUAAAUCAUGAAAUUAAACUAUUUUCUUAUUACCUAAUUAUCUUUUGGUUUUGAUAAAUUGUUACUUAGGCAAAUUAUUCAGCAUCAAGAGUACUAUGUUGUAAUAUUCUUUCUUAGCUGCUAUGAUAUGGUUUUUCCCCUAUUACUCAUAUAUCCUGUCUUCUUUUAAAUGAAUUAUAACCUAUCAUAUAUGUUUUCUCAAAAAAAUAAAAAAAGAGAUAUAUCAUAUAUGAUUUUGUACAAAUUUAUGUUUGUGUGAAUGCAUGUGUGUGUUUAUGUUAAGACAAAUUUUUCUCAUAUUAUAUAAUGUAAUUUAGGCUUUGUAAUUCUUUGGCUUACUUAAUCUCACAUAUUACUAAUAUAUUUUGAUAUUGCAUGGAAGAAAAAGAGGACUAUAUAGCAUUUUUUUUAGAGGGGGUUGGGGGGUUGAAAGCUCCCUUUCCCCUCCUUCCUAUGCCACUAAUUAUUCAUCCAUUCAGCAUUUAUACAAGAAGCUUAUCAUUACUUUAUCUAUGGUUGAGGGUGGAUUUGCUUUUCAAGGAUUUUGAAAAAACAUUUGAUUCAGUUGAUUACUUGUAAGCUGCUGGAUCUGUAUGUUAUUUUAAUUGUAUCCUUUUGGAGUUUGUUGGUGUCACGAAGCCUUUGAAGGUGUUGUAGGGGAAGGGUGAAAAAAGGAAUUCAUGUACAAGGAUGAAAUAUGAAAAACACACGCAAGAAUGUGAAAAUGUUAUUUCAUCCUUAGAAAAUCUGGAAGAUGUGGUUAGGGUUUUCGGUAGGUAGUUUUGCCGACCGCUAUAACAAAUCCUUUGCAUGGGUUGCAACGGAUGUGCACCCGAUCUGUAAUAGGCUGCCGUACCUAAAAAUGCAUUCGACCCUCGAGUAUGCAUAUAAAUAGACUGAUUUCAGUGGAGAAUGCAUUGAAGAAUCUAUGAGUUAAUACAAAAUGGUGUAGGGAGUAAACCAGUUGAAAAAAUAAUGGACCAAAUUAGACCCAAUUCAUGGGUUAAUGCGAACUGGUUUUUAACCCUUAAAUGUGAACCAGUCCAGUUCGCACCAACCUGGUCAGCUUGCCCAAAGUGGAAAUUCCAUUAUUUGAAGGUAUAAAUCCCGGCGCUUGGAUCCAGAGAUGCGACAAAUAUUUUUUGGUACACUGAACCCAAAAGGAAUAAAAAGCAGGGCUUGCAUUACUCUUCCUUGAUGAACUGGCGGAUGUUUAGUACUAAGGAUGGUUGGCGAAAAAUGAAAGCUUGAAUUGUAUGUAUGUUAAGAGUAAGGUAAAAAAUAGAGGUAGAAAUUAAGCAAGAAGAAAAUGAUAAGUGAAUCAAAUUGAAUGUAGAGAUGGUAUCAUUACCUGGAGCCAUAUACCCAAUAGUGGCAAGCGUCAAGGUGUGUCUCACAGACUCAUCAUCUCCUAAAAGUUGGGAAACACCGAAAUCAGCCACAUGUGCAACCAUAUUGUCAUCUAGGAGGACAUUGGUAGGCUUUAAAUCACAAUGGGCAAUUGGUGAUGGAAGAUUGUGAUGAAGAUAUUCCAGAGCUGAUGCAACAUCUAUUGUUAUGUCCAGUCUCUGUAGCAUGUUUAGAAAAUGGUUGUGAGAAUACAACCAGUUUUCAAGACUCUGAUUAGACAUGAACUCCAGCACUAAGGCCUUAAAAUCAUCAUUGGAGCAACUGCUAAUGAUUUUGACAAGAUUCCGAUGGCGGAUAUUACGCAUCAUAUGACUUUCAACUUCAAAACUUCUGAGAGCUUUCUCUAACGGCAACUUGAAAACCUUUAUUGCAACAUUUACCCCAUCUGCGAGUGUUCCCUUAUACACUGAACCAAAACUUCCUAUUCCGAGCAAGUUUCUUUCGCUGAAUCCGUUAGUAGCUCUUUUAAGUUCAAUAUAUGAAACUCUUCUCCAUGUUGCAAGGAGUGAGAAACUUUGUUUGUUCUGCUUGUUGGCCUGCUGUUUAUGCCUCCACCUAUAGAUGAUAAAGAUAACAGUUGCUAUUAAUAUUAUGUAUGCAAUGCCUGGAAAUAUGAACUGGAGUACAAGUGACAUGACCCUUUUGGAUCGAUCAAUAGCUGGCCUUUUGCAACACGGAACAAGUAGUUGCGGUGAACCGCAGAGAGCAUAAUUAUGCAGAAAUGAUUGAGCUGAAAAGUUUCUAAAAGGCCCUCCAGUAGGGAUUUCUCCUUCUAGCCUGUUGAAAGACAAGUUAAGCUGCUUGAGAUGGGAAAGCUUUUCCAAGGACUUGGGAAUAACUCCUGAAAGAUCGUUGUAAGAGAGAUCCAAGAAUUCCAGGCUUAUCAGAUUUCCAAAUGACUGGGGACUAUUUCCUUGUAAGCCAUUUUUUGCCAAGGAAAGAUGCAAAAGACCUUUUAGGCCUCCAACGCUUUCUGGAAGAUUACCGAAAAAUUGAUUACUUGAUAAGUCUAGUUUGGUCAAGACCUCCAGAUUUUCAGUAUCCAUAGGGAGAUUGCUAGUUAACGAAUUCAAAGACAGGUUUAUUUGCAACAUGUCAGUGAGUCUCCAUAAGGUAGAUGGUAUAGCAGAAGUUAGUUGAUUGGAGCUUAAGUCGAAAUCUCUAAGGGAAGAUAAGUUAUAUAAGCAUUCAGGCAAAGACCCGUGAAAGGCAUUACCAUUCAAGAUCAAAGCAUACAGACUCCCUAAGUGACACAGUUCAGGAGGAAUAGAUCCUUGUAAUAUGUUUUGAGGAAGAUACAAUGCUUGUAGAUUUUGUAGUCUGCCAAUUGUGGCUGGAAGGGCUCCAGUCAAUUCAUUGUUGUCAAGGCCUAAACCUAUCAGACUGCUUAAGUUACCAAUCUCUUUAGGCAUACCACCCUUAAUUCUGCAAUUUCUGGCAUUUAAAUGGUGAACAGAUGAAGAGAGAUUUCCAAUAGAGGUUGGAAGGGUGCCACUCAAGGGAUUAUAUGACAACUCAAUGACUCUUAACUGUCUGCAAUUUCCCAAGGAAUAGAGAAAGCUCCAAGGAGAGUCAGAAGAUUGUGCUGUCAAAUUAUUAUGGUGCAAGUUCAGUAUUCGGAGUGAUCUUAAGUUUCCAAGUGUAUCUGGUAUGUAGCCUGAGAAAAAGUUCGAGCCCAAUUCCAGGAGUACGAGUUGGGAAAGAUUGGAGAUAGAAGCUGGGAUCACUCCGUUAAGGUUAUUUCCCCACAGGUAAAGCUCCUCGAGGUUUGGAGCCGAAAGACCUAUGCUUGAUUCCAGAUGACCGAAGAGGUUGUUGUCUUCUAGUUCAAUAACUCUUAUGGUCGAGAUGUUGAAGAUGGUGGAUGGGAUUACACCAGUUAACUUGUUAAAAGCCAUAUUCAGAUACAUCAGAUUUUGCAGAUUGCCAAUGUCAACAGGUAUUUCACCUGCUAUGGGGGGAACAUUCAUAAAUAAUAUUAUAUGAUCAGUCUAAUAAUUCCUCAUAAAAAAUAACAUAUGCAGGACAAGUAAAGAUGAUAUAUAGAUAGAAACCAAACCUUGUAGGUUGUUAUAACCCAGAUAUACUUGUUGGAGCUUGGUCAAGUUUCCAAAACUUCUGGGUAAUCUCCCUGUGAAUCUAUUGAGUGACAGUGCCAACAGUUGAAGCUCCCUGCACUUAUCCAAGCUUGAAGGAAGCUGACCUUACAAUUCAUUAUCAGCAAAAGAAAGAUACUCAAGUUUAGGAAGAAGAUCACACAUUUGAUCUGGUAGAGUACCAGACAAGCUAUUGUCUUGCAAACUAAGCUUCUGCAGUGAGGAAAUAUUGAAGAUGGUCCAAGGAAUAGAUCCACAAAGGUUAUUUUAUGUCAAAUAAACUACUUUAAGGUUAGUAAGCUUACCAAUCUCACGAGGAAUGUUUCCACGAAUGAGAUUAAGACUCAGGUCCAAUACCUCCAACUUAGACAAGUUCAGCAGAUAAUACGGAAUUGUACCUGAUAGACUGUUAUUACAGAGGCUGAACUGACGCAAAUUUCGUAAAUUACCGAUUGAUGAUGGUAUUCCUCCAUUGAGGUGAUUGUCGGUCAAAUUGAUGAACUUCAAGUCCCACAAUUGAGUAAGCUCUUCUGGUACUGGGCCAUGAAAAUUGUUGGUGCUCAAGUUCAGGGAGACAAGGAAUGAGAGAUUACCUAGAUGGGGAGGGAUAGUGCCCGUCAGCCCCAUGUCUGAAAGGUCCAAAGCUGUGACUCUUCCAUGGCGGAGACUGCAGGAGACACCAAUCCAGUGGCAAACAGUGGCAGAGGUAGUCCAAUUGUAUAGCAAGAUGUUUUCACGGCUGAAGGUGAUGAAGGAUUUAAAUGCCAGAAGAGCUGAUUGAUCAAUACUCAAAUCUUUGAUUGCCAUUGCAGCUGUACAGAAGCAUAGCAACAACAAUAUUGAAACCAAAUGGAAACUCAUCUUCAUCUUCUUCAUGGGUGCUCUUUUAAUCUCCUUUGAAGUGGAACUAGACCAUCCUAAUGUUGACCCUUGCAUCUAUAUAUAUAUAUAUAUGCAUUGAAAAAGAGAGAUAGAGAUAUUGAAACAUUCUAUCUCUGUCAUUGGAUAUUGAAAAAAAAAAAAAACAAAACCAAUAAAUGGAUUAAACAUCUUUGCCUUUGAGAUUAAACGUUUGAAUGCUGAAUUGUGCUCUAGACAAAGGCAACAGACUAAAAAAAUCUUCAAAUAAAUAACAUUAUCCUCUUUAUUACUUAGUGUGUAAUCUUUUUCUAAGGAAAUUAAACAAGUGUCCUAUAAUGACAAUGAAAAUUAAACAUUUUCAUUUUAAAAGUAAGAAAUUAUAUUUUCUAUGGACAAAUAAAAAACAAAGCUGAAUAUGUUUCUAAUCCUAUAAUGAUAAUCUAAUUUUUGCAAACUUAAAACUGAGUGUAAAAUGGGUUGGAUGUGUUUAUUAUUAUUUUUUAAGAGAAAGUUAAGAGUUUAUUCAAUUAAACUACCAUCCAAUAAGUACCAUCAAUCAUCAGAAUAAUUCUCAACGUAAGUAUAAUUCCAUAAAUGUAAAGAAUAAUCCUCUUCGUUGGUUUGUGGCUGGUCGGAAGAAUUAAAGAAGAAUGAUGUUAUUGUAAUUUAAUAUUCUGGGGACGUUUAUUUCAAAAUCUAAUUGGUUUGUUUUCUACCAAAGAGUCAAAAUUACAGAGUAGAAUUAGAAACUACCCUUCUUCUUCUUCUUCUUCUUCAUGUAUCUUGAAGAGAAACAAAGGAGGAUAUCUGAAAUAACGAAGAACAGAUGACUAUAGUUUAUAGCUAGUUUAGCAAUAACAUAAAAGUUCUGUUCCAAAAUAGUUAGCACAUCUUUAUGUAGUUAAAUUAUUAUCAUACCUAAUGGUCGAUUUUUGCAUUCCAAUUUCCCACACUGCUGACUCCAAAGAAUUCUUACCGGUCCCUUCCUGAUUUCUCUCUCUCAAAAAAGCUUCUUGGUCUUCUCCUUUCUCCCCUCUCUUUUGGUGUUUCUCAACUCGGAAGAAAAAGAACGCCCUCAAGCGCUCAGCUCUUCCCCCAAUUUUACGGAAGUCUCCCUCCCCGGUUUAACAAAAACCUCUGUUUUCGCUCGCCAAAAGCCCAUAAAAUUUCCCUCUUAUCCCCUGAAAUUCUCUCCAUUUCCACCCACCAAAAACCCCAAAAGAUUCCCUCUCAGUUUUUCCUUUCUCCCCUCUGUUUCUCUCGUCUCCAGACCCUCCUUAGCUGCGUCUCUCUCCCUCUUUUUCUCUUCGGCCGAGCCCAGUCGAUUUCUCCAUUUUCCCUCAAAAUUUCAAUCGCUUCCCCUUUUAUAGUCAGAGGAGGACGCAAUACCUCGAAGUUCUCCUUGGGUCCAGUCAUUUUCAGUCUUUCAACCAACGGCUCCUUUGGGGUUGACUUCACCCUCCUCCCUCGAUCAACGCUUCAUCACCGAAAAAGAACGGGGUUUUUCGUCCUUGUCCUUGUGAUCUUUCCACUGUCUUCCCCUCUUUUAUGGCCAAAAUCAAACUCCCACUAGAUACCUCGAGUCAUUCCUCGAUCCGAGUCUGCGUCUCUAUCAUCUUCCGCUCAAAUUCCUCCAUUACCUUUUCUAAUUCAAGCUUAGAUCGAUUUUCUGUUUUUUCUAUUGUCCUUCUCUCGCUAUUCCUUUUACCUCGCUUCGUUUUGUACCACUCACAUUCUGCUAGAAUAAAUUUUCAUAAUAAUUAAUUAAUAUACGAUAAUAAAUAAUGAUAUAUGAAAAUAACGAAAUUUUUUUAUGUUUGAAGGAUUAUAUAUUAAUACAGUGUUAAGUUAGCCUAU